UACGGAGGAUCCAAGCGUUAUCCGGAUUUAUUGGGUUUAAAGGGUGCGUAGGCGGCUAUUUAAGUCAGGGGUGAAAGACGGUGGCUCAACCAUCGCAGUGCCUUUGAUACUGAAUAGCUUGAAUACACUAGAGGUAGGCGGAAUGUGACAAGUAGCGGUGAAAUGCAUAGAUAUGUCACAGAACACCAAUUGCGAAGGCAGCUUACUAUGGUGUUAUUGACGCUGAGGCACGAAAGCGUGGGGAUCAAACAGG
rnacentral:rRNA from 1 species